CCUACGGGUGGCAGCAGUGGGGAAUAUUGCACAAUGGGGGAAACCCUGAUGCAGCGACGCCGCGUGAGUGAAGAAGUAUUUCGGUAUGUAAAGCUCUAUCAGCAGGGAAGAAAAUGACGUUACCUGAUUACGAAGCCCCGGCUAACUACGUGCCAGCAGCCGCGGUAAUCCGUAGGGGGCACGCGGUAGCCAGCUGUACUGGGUGUAAAGGUAGCGUAGACGGCAGCACAAGUCUGGAGUGAAAUGCCGGGGCUUAACCCCGGAACUGCUUUGGAAAAUGUGGAGCUAGAGUGCAGGAGAGGUAAGUGGAAUUCCUAGUGUAGCGGUGAAAUGAGUAGAUAUUAGGAGGAACACCAGUGGCGAAGGCGGCUUACUGGACUGUAACUGACGUUGAGGCUCGAGAGCGUGGGGAGCAAACAGGAUUAGAUACCCUUGUAGUC
rnacentral:rRNA from 1 species